CCGAGUGCGGGCCCCUCGCGGCCCAACCUCCCACCCUUGUCUCUCCACCCCUGUUGCUUUUGGCGGGCCCACCGGGGCCACCUGGUCGCCGGGGGACGCACGUCCCCCGGGCCCGUGCCCGCCGAAGCGCUCUCUGUGAACCCUGAUGAAGAUGGGCUGUCUGAGUACGAUGAAAAUUGUCA
rnacentral:misc_RNA from 1 species